rnacentral:rRNA from 1 species
AACGAACGCUGGCGGCAUGCCUAACACAUGCAAGUCGAACGAGACCUUCGGGUCUAGUGGCGCACGGGUGCGUAACGCGUGGGAACCUGCCCUUAGGUUCGAAAUAACUCCCCGAAAGGGGUGCUAAUACCGGAUAAUGUCUUCGGACCAAAGAUUUAUCGCCUUUGGAUGGGCCCGCGUUGGAUUAGCUAGUUGGUAGGGUAAAAGCCUACCAAGGCGACGAUCCAUAGCUGGUCUGAGAGGAUGAUCAGCCACACUGGGACUGAGACACGGCCCAGACUCCUACGGAAGGCAGCAGUGGGGAAUAUUGGACAAUGGGCGAAAGCCUGAUCCAGCAAUGCCGCGUGAGUGAUGAAGGCCUUAGGGUUGUAAAGCUCUUUUACCCGGGAUGAUAAUGACAGUACCGGGAGAAUAAGCUCCGGCUAACUCCGUG